UUCCUGGUGGUCCAGUGGUUAAGACUCUGAACUUCCAAUUCAAGAAGUAUGGGUUCCAUACCUGGUCAGGGAG
rnacentral:tRNA from 1 species